UACGUAGGGGGCGAGCGUUGUCCGGAAUGAUUGGGCGUAAAGGGCGCGUAGGCGGCCUGUUAAGUCUGGAGUGAAAGUCCUGCUUUCAAGGUGGGAAUUGCUUUGGAUACUGAUAGGCUUGAGUGCAGGAGAGGUUAUCGGAAUUCCCGGUGUAGCGGUGAAAUGCGUAGAGAUCGGGAGGAACACCAGUGGCGAAGGCGGGUAACUGGACUGCAACUGACGCUGAGGCGCGAAAGUGUGGGGAGCAA
rnacentral:rRNA from 1 species